AGCUUCAGUAGCGUAUAUUAAAGUUGUUGCAGUUAAAAAGCUCGUAGUCGCAUUUCUGGCGAGAGGAUCCGGUCCGACCUUUUGGUGGGUUCUUGGGUCUCUUUCGCCAUCCUUGAGUGGUCCGUUCUGGCAUUAGGUUGUCGGAGCGUCAGCCGCUCAUCGUUUACUGUGAGAAAAUUAGAGUGUUCAAAGCAGGCUUAUGCCGUUGAAUAUAUUAGCAUGGAAUAAUAAGAUAGGACCUCGGUACUAUUUGGUUGGUUUGCGCACCAAGGUAAUGAUGAACAGGGACAGUUGGGGGUAUUUGUAUUUCGUUGUCAGAGGUGAAAUUCUUAGAUUUACGAAAGACAAACUACUGCGAAAGCAUUUACCAAGGAUGUUUGCA
rnacentral:rRNA from 1 species